GGCAACCCACUCCAGUGUUCUUGCCUGGAGAACCCCAAUAUGGCAGAGCCUGGGAGGCUGCCAUCUAUGGGGUCGCACACAGUUGGACACGACUGAAGUGACUUAGCAGCAGCAGACACUCAGAGGAACCCCUGGUGUCUCCACCAUUGUUCACUGUGGGGUGGGGUUCCCUCUAUUUACUGUGUUUCUCUGGGAGGCUGGACAGUCUGGACCUGCAGUGCUUGGCAGGCAGAGCAGGUGAAGUCUUAGGAGAGUGUCUGACAGAUCUAAAACUUGCACUCAAGUUCUGCUUUUAGUUGGUGGUUUGCAGUCGUAAGGGGAAAUUGACAACUAGAAACCGUAAUGGAGAAGGACACAGCUGUAUAAAUGGAGAGGACACUUUCAUGCAUAGUGAAUGAGGAGAGAAAUGAGGAUUUCUACACUGGGAGGAAGUGAAUGACUGUGAUAUUUGAGUGUAAGGAUAAGAUACUCACCUGACCUCUCGCCAACUGAAUACCAUGUCUUCAAGCAUACCUACAAUUUUUUCCAGGGAAGAAAAUUCCACCACAAACAAGAGGCAGAAAAUCCUUCCCAAUAAUUCAUCAAAUCCUGAAGCAUGGAUUUUUUUUUUUUUGAUCGUUGUUUUUAGGUUACUUUUUUUGAAAAAAAAAAAAUCAGAAUUACAAAAAGCGUUGGAGUGGUUAUGUUCCCUUCAAGGUCCUCAGAGCAACAAACAACAUAGCCAGAGCUAGAGUAUUUUUACUUCUAACAUGUGAAUCCAAAAGACAGCUCAUGGAAUUGUAAAAUGCAUUUUUUAGUGAAGUUGCCAUUCAGGCUUGGUGUUUCUGUUUUAACGAAAAAACAAAGUAAGUCUUUUACAGUAAGAAUUUAAUAAAGGAAGAAAAAUCAUAAACUGACUAAAUACAAAAUAUACAUUUUCCCAUAAGUAUACAUACAUAAUAUUUUAUCAACAAAAUAAUUUAAAUAUUUAUAAAUAGUUAAAUAAAUAUUAAAUUAAAUAAAUAAAGGUCCAGGUAGUUAAAUAUGUAUAUAGAUCAGCUUCAGCAUCCGUGAGGGACCAGUGCCUAUAGAGUAGAACAUGAUGUUGCUUAAUAUUCCAGAAAACAUUUGACAUAUUGAUUCAUUUCAGUGCAUGAUGACAGCAGAAAUGAGAGUCUUCCACGUGGCAGCGCAGGAGGAAGUGUGGUCUGUUGGUCCAUGAGAAUCAUUUCCAUGUUGAACCAGAUUUCCCAAAUGACUUUCAAGUUACAAUCCAAGUCUAUUGUUUUCAAAUAAAAGGAAACCAUCUUUGUAAUUAAUCCAGAAUGGGAUAAAUAUUGAUUAUUUCAUGGACAGAUUUAACUUUUGGCUCUGCUCCUGAAUUCUUCUGAUUUUACAGUGGAUUUUAUGUCGUCUUGUCCCCUUAUGUUCCAAACUUCAAAUAAGAGAUAUGUGACCAUCUUUGGCAAAUCAGCUCUGUAGUGACUGAACUCUGUCUUCUCUGUGGUAUCCUCUGUACCAGGCCCAGUGUAAUCGCUCAACAAGUUGUUUUGUGGUUAUUUAUUUACUUAUUCACUUCUGGAUGCACUGGGUCUUCACUGCUUGCCUGGACUUUCGUCAGUUGUGGCCAGUGGGGAUCGCUCUUCCUCUCAGUACCCGGUUUACUUGCUGUGCGGUCCUUCUCAGGCUCUAGCGUGCAGGCUUCAGGACUUGCAGCGUGUGGGCUCUAGAGCAGGGUCUCAGUAACAGGGGAGCGCUGUCUUAGUUGUUCCGUGGCAGGUGGACACUUCCUGGACCAGGGAUCGAAUGUGUCUCUCCUGAAGAAAGAUUCUUCUUCACUGCACCAUCAGGGAAGUCCUCAACAAGUAAUUGUAGCUAAAGCAGUUUCUCAGAUUUCCUCCUACUACUGGAAGGCAUUUACAAAUGACCCAGCUAUUUUUCUUCAUCUGGACCCUAUUUCCUGUAGCUAUAAUAGACGGCGUCUGGAAUUUCCACUCUAUUCCUGCUGGUACCAGUCAUACUGAGUUUGUUGCUAAAACCACUAGGAGUCUCCUUCCUUGAAGGCACAUGUGGUCUGGGGAUUCAAGUAGCAAGUGCAACACGCUUUUCAGCCUUUGCCCAGCACUAUGUUAAACUCAGGAGGAUGCCUCACCCCAAUUGUCCUCAA